AUUGAACGCUGGCGGCAGGCUUAACACAUGCAAGUCGAACGAGUGGCGGAAGGGAGAGUAAUGCUUGGGAAUCUAGCUUAUGGAGGGGGAUAACUACGGGAAAAUGUCGCUAAUACCGCGUACCAUAGGAUGAGCCAACGUGGGCUUAGGUAGUUGGUGAGGUAAAGGCUCACCAAGCCGACGGUCGCUAGCUGGUCGGAGCGGAUGACCAGCCACAUGGGGACUGAGACACGGCCCAGACUCCUACGGGGUGCAGCAGUGGGGAAUAUUGCGCUAUGGGGGCAACCGGACUCAGCCAUGCCGCGUGAAUGAAGAAGGCCUUCGGGUUGUAAAGUGCUUUCGGUAGCUAGGCGUUAACUACAGAAGAAGCACCGGCUAACUCCGUGCCAGCAGCCGCGGUAAUUC
rnacentral:rRNA from 1 species